rnacentral:lncRNA from 1 species
CUGCAUAGUUGACCUCAAAAUUAACCUUCACACUGACUGGCUCUGCGGUGACUAUGCGGUCCGCAUAACUAUUAUGCGACUGCAGAGUUGACCGCAGAAUUGCACUUUUUUGGAAAACACUAUUGUUUAACUUUUUAAUGCAUAGAUCAAUCCAAAGGGUCUGUACCGUGACGAGCUUUUUAUGAAUUUCUAACACAUAAUCCUAACUUGGCACCACAAGACUCGGGUUUUUGAGUAGAAAUUUUACCAGGCCUUACAAAAUAAUAGUAACCAACUCUCCUAGAGCUCACAUCUACCAGAAACCUGUCGGUUUCUCAUAAUCCUCGUGUACACCAUCAAGAGUGAAAUAUAAGAGGGUGACCCUAGGGGAUGGAUCUAUAUCCACGUGCCACAUGGACAACUUACAUGCUGCACGGACAACUUACGUAUGCGCGGACAACUCACAUACUAUAAUAUCAAUAUCUGAAUCCAUACGGACAACUCACUUGCUGCACGAAUAACUCAUUUGCUAAUAAUAUCAAUCCAUACUGACAACUCACGUGUUGCAUGGACAACUCACGUACUAAUAUUACAAUCUGCCUGGCAUGGUCACAACAAGCACAAUAUCAUAAUCCUCCCAGCAUGGUCACAUGCAUAACAAUACAAUUUGCCCGACGUGGUCACAUGCAUAUCAACAUAAUCCGCCUGGCGUGGUCACAGACUCACAUGCAUAUCAACAUAAUCCGCCCGCCGUGGUCACAGGCCUCCUGUCCAAAACAUACCACACAGAAGCAAGUAUAUAAGAAUACAUGUAUAUGAUCUACAAAUAUCAGAUUUCAUAUAAUUACAUGCUAAAGUGUAGGCAUGUGCAAUGUACUCUACUGUAGCUCAAAUUGACAAUUUUAUCACAUAAGUAGCUAUUAUAUUAUUCAAGGAAUUAGCCUCUUCGUAACCUCAAACAUGGAUCAAAUAAUUCACAUCAAUGUUACAAAUAUGACAAACAUUAUAGCUUUAAGCUUAACAGUCAAUUCUAGAUAUAUCAUAGCCUAAGCACUGCAUCGAGCAUGGAUAAAUAUCCCAAUGCUCGCACAUGGGCUCAAACCCCACACAUAUGUGCACCCAUAGCAUGUAGACAUCACAAAUAAUUCAGGCAACUAGUACCUCAACCGAGUUUAGAUAAGAUACUUACCUCACACAAGCUAAAAUAAAUAUUGAGCAAGUCGAACGACCAUCUAGAAAUGCCAUUCCGCAUGUAUCAACCUCUAAACGGCUCGAAACUAGCCAAAAAUAACUCAAAAUAUCAAAUAAUGCCAUAGGAGACAAACCCAAUUGAUAAAGGUCGAAUCUUUAAUCAAUUACUCAAAUUCAACCAAAAAAUCAAACCCGAGCCUGGACCUCAGAACCCAACAAAAUUCAAAAAAUCUAACAACUCAUUUAGUUACGAGUUCAACCAUACUAAUUUCACUCAAAUCAGACUCCGAAUCAAUGUUCAAAACUCAAAAAUUCACUUUAGGAAAGUUUAGAAAAAUAAACCAAAAUUUCUAUUUAAAAUUCAUAAUCUAUAACGAGCCGACCAGUCAUUUUGAGUAAUUGCACUUCGCUUGAUUGUUUGAGGGCAUGCGUAGCUCCGUAUGAAGUAUUACAACUUAUGUGAAUAGUCGGUUUUUGUUUUCAGGUUUUUUAGAAUUGAGUUAGAAGAAUGAUUCUCAGCUAAAAGCUUUAAAUUUGAAAGGUUUGACCAAGUUUUGACUUUUUAGUAUUUGACCCUGGAUUGGAUUUUGGAUGGUUCUGUUAGCUCCGUUAGGUGAUUUUGGACUUAGGAGCGCGUCCGGAAUGUGAUUUGGAGGUCCGUGGUAGAAUUAGGUUUGAAUUGGCAAAAGUUUAAAAUUUGGCAAUUUUGAUCGGCAGUGGAAAAUUUGAUAUCAGGGUCGGAAUGGAAUUCUGAAAGUUGGAGUAGGUUCGUAGUGUCAUUUGUGACGUGUGUGUAAAAUUUGAGGUUAUUCGGAUGUGAUUUGGUAGGUUUCGGCGUCGUUUGGGGAAUUUAGAAGUUUAGACGUUCUUGGGCUUGAAUCUGAGGGUAAUUUGGUGUUUUGAUGUUGUUUUGAGUGAUUUGAAGGUUCAACUAAGUUUGUAUGAUGUUAUGGGAUGUGUUGGUAUGUUUGGUUGAUGUCCUGAGGGCCUCAAGUCUGUUUUGGGUGGUUAAUGGAUCAAUUAUUAGUGUUGGGAAAUAGCUGGUUUACUGGUUUCUGAAGAUGCUGGUGUUUUCCGCAUCUGCGGAAGGGAAGUCACAGGUGUGAAACCGCAGACACGCAUGGAAAGUUCGCAAGUGCGGAUGGAAUUAAGAUAGGCUGGGUCCGCAGGUGCGUAGGAGAGGUCGCACCUGCAAGUCCCUAGAUGCAGAAAGGUGCCCGCAGAAGCGGAAUUGAGGAGGUCAGGUAGUGGCCGCAGGUGCGAGGUCUUUUCCGCACUUGCAUAGUCGCAGACACGGAUAAGGAGCGCAGGUGCGAAUUUGGGGGAUUUAAUUAUUUUCCGCCGGUGUGAAGGUUUUUGCGUAGAUGCGGCACCACAUGUGCGGAUAUUUAGCCGCAGGUGCGAAUGGCCUGGGCAGAAAGUAUAAAUAGCACACUUCGGGAAUUUUGGUUCAUUUCCACUAUUUUCAAGUCGAUUUUUGGAGCUUUUGGAGAGAUUUUGAAGGGAUAUUCAAGGGGUUAUCAAUGAGGUAAGUUGCUGGAGCUCUAAUACUCAUAUCUAUGGUAUUUUCCCAUUGUUUUAUCAAUUAAUUAGUGGAAUUAUGGGUGAAAAUGAGCGGUUAGAGCUUGUGAUUUUGGAGAGAUUGAUUUGAGAAUUUAAGGGAACAAAUGGAGUCAUAUUUUGGUAAAUUUCGUAUGUAUGGACUCGUGAGUGAAUGGGCUUUCAAGUUUUGUAUUUUUUGUCGGAUUUUGAGGCAUGGGCCCCGGGGGCCAGGUUUGAGCCGAUUUCGCGUUUGGGGUCUAAUUUGGUAGUUUUCUUGUGGAAUUCAUUACUUUAGCAUAUAUUGAUGGUAUUGUUCUGGUUGUGAAUAGAUUUAGAUCGUUUGGGGGCCGAUUCGAGGGGCAAGAGCAUCGCGGAGUAGAGAUUUGAUCGAUUUGAGGUAAGUAACAAUUGUAAAUCUAGUCCUGAGGGUAUGCAACCCCGGAUGUUGUAUCAUGUGACUAUUUUGAGGGUGAUGCACAUGCUAGAUGACGAGCAUGUGAGCGUCCACCAUUGGGAAUUGUGACUUGAUCUGUCCCGUAUCAACUAUAAAGUUGAAUAUUUGGUUGAAUCUAUAUGCUUCUUACUUGUUUUAGAAAGAAUUUCUGUAAAUCAGGCUGGAUGCCAUGCUUAAGCCUUAUGCUAGUGUUGUUUGGACCCUUAUAGGUCUUUUCUUGCUAUCCUCUCAUUGUUUUCUAUUGGAAAUAUAUACUCAGUCAUGUUUAUACUUAUUUAUUACAUAACUCAGUCUCUAUUAUUCUGUUUUAAUGCAUCAUAUAAAUGUUGUUUGGGCUGAAUACCUUGUGUUCUGAGUGCCCGAGAGACUGGAGAGGUUAUGACUGAGUUAGGCCGAGGGCCUGAUUUGUGAGGAUAUUUAUGGGAUCGGGCUGCACGUCGCAACUUGUUUUACUGAUUCAUGACUAAUUGAGGUCGAGGGCUUGAUUAAUUUAUGCCAUGAUUGUCUUGUUAUAGCGCUUGGGUUGAAAGAGCCCCUCCGGAGUCUGCACAUCCCCAGUAAGUGCAGGUACCUACUGAGUGCGAGUGCCGAGUGCGAGUGACUAGGAGGCAUGAGUAAGGGUGAGGUUUGCCCGAGGGGCUGUACAUGAGUGAUGGUAAGGUUUGCCCAUGGGGCUGCAUAUGAGUGAUGGUGAGGUUUGCCCGAGGGGUUGUAUAUGAGUGAUGUUUGCCCGAGGGGCUAUUUAUGAUUUCAUCAUUUCUGCUAACUUUUGCAUUGAACCUUUGUUCGAAAACUGUUGAAAGAUGUUUUUAAAUGAUUUUACUGGAACUGGUUUUAAACAAGCUGAUUUGAUUCAAACUAUGGUUUUAAAAACGUGUCGUACUUUACUAAGUUUCUGUAAUAUUAACUUUACUUGCAUUAUUGCUCGUCACUACUUCUCAGCCUUUAUUUACUAUUAUUACUUACUGAGUUGGCGUACUCACGUUACUCCUUCCACCUUGUGUGCAGAUCCGGGCAGUUCUAGAUGCGGUAGCGAGUGUUGAUUGUUUCAGUUGCAGAUCCAUCGGAGUUAGCAAGGUAGCUGUCUGACAAUCACAACCCUGCUUUCCUCCCUCUUUAUCUUCCCUUAGUUGUAUUCAGUUAUUUCCAGACUAUGUUAGUCUUGAUAUUGAUAGACUGUUGUAGUAAAUGCUCAUGACUAAUGACACCCCGUGUCACACCUCCUUUUUACCACCCGAAAGGGGAUAUAAGGGAGUUUUUUCCAAUUAAAGUGAAAUAAAUUGAAAUGGGAUUAUUUUAUUUAUUUAGAGUCUCCACUUGGAAUAAUUUAUGGUGUCCCAAGUCACCGGUUUAUUUUUUUUAAAUUCCAAAUCGAGGAUAUCGACUUUUUUUAAAAGUCUGCGAAAUCAAAAAUUCUAGAUAAGGAAUUCUGUUAACCCGGAAGAAGGUUUUAGGCAUUCCCGGAUUCCGUGGUUUGACCAUGAUCGCUUAAACUAUUAAUAAUUGGCCUCAUUAUCUGAUUUACUACAUGUUUUAAAUCUAGUGCAUUUUUAACUUUAUCACCGUUUUUAAUUAAUUGACCACUUUUUUUAGGAUUUAUGGAAUUAUUUCUUGAACAAGUUAUGAUUGUCGUACACUUUCUGUUUUGGAACACAUCGCAAACCACGCCACAUGAAAUGCACCCGCAAUUUGCGACAUGUUUAUUUUUAUUAAUGUUCGAAGUUGUUAUGAUCGGGUCACAUGAAAUGCACACCCGAAUUUGGGAAUUAGGUAUCACGACUAUGUCACAGGAACCAUACCCAUAGUCACGAUAAUUUAUUAUAAAACGCGCCUAAAGCAAACUACGAAUAUUCAAAGUAUUUUCUACACUAGUUAUGAAUGUUCAAAGUAUUUUUCACACUAGUUUUGGUAUUAAUGUGAGGGCCAUAGAUUAUGGGAUUCAUUUGUGUAUGGCACGCCUCAAUUUAUUUCAAAAGAUUUUACUCAACUAAAGCAAAUUACAGAUGUUCAUGUUAUUUCCUAAACUAUUUUUGAGACUAUUGUAAAGGCCGAGAGUUAUGGAUGUAAAGUUAUUGAAGUAAUUUCUACAGAAUAAGUAUGAAACCAAGGUUAGCUUAUUUUAUAGUUCUCAAGUCCAAAUCCAUGUAACUAUUGUUGCUUAAAAAAAAUUCUAAAGCACAAAAUAUCAUCAAUUUCCCAUUAGGCAAUUAUUAUUUUCUUCAAUGUUUCUUAAUUCCAACUUUCAAUAUAUAACUAAAAUCAAAUUGGGACCGUAUAUUUAUGGAAGAAGAAAAAGGAAAUAUACGUGGAAACAAAAAAAAAGAUGAGCUUAACAAGAAGAAAGUCCGAAAUGCAUGAAAGAUGACCAAGGUAUUAAAUGUCGUAAGAUGCCAUGGAAAUGCAACGAAUACCAGAACAUAACUCAAAUAGCAAAGAGAGAUGCCAUUAACUGAACAUGGAAAAUUGUCUACUUCAAUCUUUAUAAACAAAGCACACAAAUUUAAAGCAAAACUCUUUUCGUCUUCGCCUCUACUCUAACCCUUUGAAAUUUGUCGCUAACUGCUUUGCCGGCCAAAUAUUUCUUGAGAUCAACUACAUACAACUACAUAUACAACUUACAUUUAUUGUAGAAAACUAUGAGUGGAAUGAUAAAAUCAAAAACAAAACUUUUCACAAGACAAACCAAGUAUAACAUCUGACAAUACAAAUAAAACAAAGAGACCUCAUAAUUGUACUUUAAGAAAUUAUUGAUUUUUCAUUAAUAAUUAGAUUGAAGAGUACAUACAAGUUGUUGAGCUCGCUGCAAGGUAAAAGAACCGAUGGAAGCAAUGACAAAUUGAGGUCGAACAGGUCUUGCAAAAACCUUGUCAACAGCCUCAUUUACAACAUCCUCUUAACAGCAGUAGCAUAAUUUAAAACCCCAGAACCAGAUUUUUCUCUUUAAUCCCAAACUUUUAACUAUUUUGAGUAUGAGAGAGUGAGUGCUUAAGGAAGGAGAAAUCUUUCAGCUGGGUUUUUGUUCUAGGGGUCAAGGAUCCGAUUGUGGAAGAUGAGAGAAGAAUGAAGGUCCCAAUUUUUGUUCUAGCGGCGGGGGGUGGCUGCUCUUCGUUCCGCCAUAGAUGAGGGAGCCAAAUAGAGAAACGACGCUUUUCUUCCAAAAAAUAGGAGGGUCUCCUCUUCUGAUAUUGUCUAGGUCUAAUGUCUCAUGUUGGUCCUUUUAAUGUCAUUAGGUUUUAG